rnacentral:rRNA from 1 species
GGCCGCGGGAAUUCGAUUCAGGCCUAACACAUGCAAGUCGAGCGGUAGAGAGAAGCUUGCUUCUCUUAAAAGCGGCGGACGGGUGAGUAAUGCCUAGGAAUCUGCCUGGUAGUGGGGGAUAACGUCCGGAAACGGACGCUAAUACCGCAUACGUCCUACGGGAGAAAGCAGGGGACCUUCGGGCCUUGCGCUAUCAGAUGAGCCUAGGUCGGAUUAGCUAGUUGGUGGGGUAAUGGCUCACCAAGGCGACGAUCCGUAACUGGUCUGAGAGGAUGAUCAGUCACACUGGAAGUGAGACACGGUCCAGACUCCUACGGGAGGCAGCAGUGGGGAAUAUUGGACAAUGGGCGAAAGCCUGAUCCAGAAGGGCCGCGUGUGUGAAGAAGGUCUUCGGAUGUCAUAUAACGGUAAGUUGGGAGGAAGGGCAGUAAAUUAAUACUUUGCUGUUUGACGUACCGACAGA